GAUGAACGCUAGCUACAGGCUUAACACAUGCAAGUCGAGGGGAAACGAUAUUGGAAGCUUGCCUCCGAUAGGCGUCGACCGGCGCACGGGUGAGUAACGCGUAUCCAACCUGCCCACCACUUGGGAAUAACCUUGCGAAAGUAAGACUAAUACCCAAUGAUAUCUCUAGAAGACAUCUGAAGGAGAUUAAAGAUUUAUCGGUGAUGGAUGGGGAUGCGUCUGAUUAGCUUGUUGGCGGGGUAACGGCCCACCAAGGCGACGAUCAGUAGGGGUUCUGAGAGGAAGGUCCCCCACAUUGGAACUGAGACACGGUCCAAACUCCUACGGGAGGCAGCAGUGAGGAAUAUUGGUCAAUGGGCGAGAGCCUGAACCAGCCAAGUAGCGUGCAGGAUGACGGCCCUAUGGGUUGUAAACUGCUUUUAUAAGGGAAUAAAGUGAGUCUCGUGAGACUUUUUGCAUGUACCUUAUGAAUAAGGACCGGCUAAUUCCGUGCCAGCAGCCGCAGUAA
rnacentral:rRNA from 1 species